CGGAGCUGGAAUUUCUUAGAGGAAGUAGCCGGUCAGGCAGAACAGCUGACAGCAUCCACCGCUGAUCUAUACUGUUCCUCGUCCUUCCAGGGAUCAGCAUGAAUAAAGCCUUUCAUGAAGCGGAGCAUGGCUGAAUUUAUCCCGUGUGUAACACAUGGAGUUCAAAGCUUCACACACCUGGAAACAGCAGCAGGGUUAUGUCACUGCUGCAGGUUUGUGAUGAAGUGGAGCGAAAACAUCCAGCUUUGGGAAAGAAGUGACAAAGAUUUGACUGCGUCUGCAAAAAGUGCUUCACCUGCCUCCAGAGAAAUCUCUGCCAUACCAGCUGUACCUGGAGGCCAGAGAGGAGGCUCUCGUUGAAGAGUUACCAGGAGUUAACAGCGUGACCUUCCAUCUCCACACACAACUAUUCUCCUGACUGGUCAAGACUGGAAAAUGUCCUUCUUCACCAAACGAGCUCCAAACGUUGUGA